GAAGCUCGCUGCAGGUCUGGCCGUUGCCGGAGCAGUUGCUGCCGCCCUUGAAGGCUGCGCUUCCAGCCCGGCGCCCGCGCUCUGGCUGUAGCGAAGCCUUUGCAAGGUGUCCAAUCAAAAGCUCAUUGAGUCAAACCACAACGCUUGUUAGGAGCUACAUCUGCUCAGGUGGGAGAGGAUCAGCAAAUGAGCAGUGGGGAAGAUUUCAACAUGCUAGAAAAUAGUGCCAUGACCUCUGCUGGCAGAGGAAAGUUCUCAACCGAUUUUAAGGCUCCGAGUAAAGAAAACUUAGCUGCAAAGCACUCUCUGAAAAGAGGUUUCUCACUAAGUCGUGCUGAUCAAGGAGAAAAAGUAAUUGCUUCUGAAAUCUCUGGUGCUCUUAAAGUUACUGAAGAACCUCAGGCACAGAUUUUAAAACCUGAUCUAGAGAUACCACAUCAAGCCAAAUUCACAUCAAUACCACUAUCUUUUUUCCCAUCCAAACUACAGCAACUAUUGUUAGCUGCAGAGAGAAAGGUCUCUGAAGCGAGGGAGGCUAUAGAAACACAAUCUGUAAUUUACAUAUGGCCAGUAAUAAAGAUGCAAGAGAGUUCCAGAUCCUUCUGGCACAAUUUUUCAAAGUCUUUAAUGCCAAGCGGCCCAGACUUAACAAGACACUGUUCUAGUCCUGAUGUAAUUGAAGAUGAGAAAAGUUCCCAAAUAACUUCAGUGAAAAAGCUUGCACAAGAGGAGCCUGAUGGAAAGACAGCAAGAUUCUAUCCUCUUAUUGUAAAGUCUUCUAACAGUUCUGUUUCAGAAAUUUUGAAGUCACUCACCAAUAUAAAAAAUAAGGAUUAUAAGAAUAUGUUAACACUUUCGUCUAUUAGUCCUAUUGGAGAGCAACAGGAAAUUCCUCUCUUUAAGGGAAAUGCUCUAAUGAUCUAUAAUGGUCAAGUCUACCUUCUAUAUGUAAUGAGGCAUGAAGAUCUGGCAGCAGAAAUGAAAAUAUCUGCCCAGCACAUGUUUAUGAAGACCAUCGUUUGGCUCAUCACGUGUCGUUCUGUCCGUAAACUAACAUUCCAAGUUUCACAUCCACUACUGUUGAGAGAGGAUGCUGUGAAACAGAACAUAAAAUGUCUUACAACCUGUGCUACUCCCACACUCCUAAAGAAAACAUCAAAUGAAACGUGUUUCUCUUCACACAUGAUGACUACAACCUCUCAGCCCGAGAACUACUCUCCUCUUGCUGGGAAAAGGCAGCAGGUGAUAAACCAUUUUGAUCAGUUCCUCUGCCAGACUGCAUUCCCAUCCAAAGAAGACUUGCAAGAAAGACAUGAUGAAGAAGCACUUCGGGAUAAAGACAAGGAAAUAAGAAAGAAAUUUGGUCUUGUUAAAGGUGUAAGAGUUGUUCUCAACAGGCUAAGUGCCUCUGAGCUUAGGAAAUGGACUGCUAAACCUUCUGCACGUAAAAAGAAAUGUAACCAUUAGGACAGAGAACAGAGGGAAGUGGUACACAUACUUACCUCUCUGUACACAAAUAUGGAGUAUACUUCACCUUGAAGUAUUUAUUAUACAACAUUAGUAUAAUUUUCAAAAUUUUUGAGCAUUUAACCCCAUAACAUAAGACGUUUUUUGUUGGAGAACCUCACCACAGCUACUUCUAAAAUGUCAGGAUCUGGUGCUUUCCCCCUGUCCCCCAUCACUUUCUCCAAAAACUGCAGAUAAAAUGCCAGCUACUGCUGAAGGAUUUUCUGACACUGCCUUCUCUUUGGCACGCAUACAACUGCUACUGAAAGUAGAAAAGGUGCCUGCUGACCUUAUACUUGUAGCAAUGGUUUGCAGUCUGUCUGUGCCAACAUGUCUCAUAGGCAGAAAUGGGAAACUCUUCAUACCCAUACUGGGCUCUUUCUGGUUUGAGCAUUGCUAUUCAUUUCAAGUGAAGGUGCUGGAAGCACAAACCACAUGUUUAUAAUCACUGACCUGCUUUUGAGAAAGUCUUGCCCCACGGCUUUGCUUAGAGUAUUAUUUGGCAGUUUUGCCUGUUAUCAUCAGAGCCUCUGGGAAUAGGUGUUUGCUUUCUCUAAUCCCUGACAUUUUUAAACUUUCAGUUCAGAUUCACCUCCUGUGUCCAUUUUGUAUUUUUCUACAACAAAGCUCUUAAGAUUUUUUCAGCAGAUUUUUUCCAGAAUGCUGUAUCAUUUCAAUAUACCUCUGUUCAAGUUGUUACUCUGCAGACAAAUUAGUAAUCAAUAAUAAAUCAGCAUUUCUCCUCAAUCUGUUUACUAUCUUAUAUUCAGCACUAAGCUUCUAUUUUUGUCAACUGGAUUUUAAGCCAUCAUUAUCCAGCCUUCCCAAGAUCUUUGAGAAUGGUCUGGUUUUGUUGUCUCUGAAUGGAAACAUAAUUAGUGUAACCUCAGCAUUCAUGAAAAUGGACUGUAUCUUCUUGUGAAAUAUUUUGAGGUCAGGUAGAGGAAAACUCUCCAUAGAAUAUAUUAAAAAACACAGGUACAACUCCUGGAUUUGGGAUUUUUUUUUCUUUUGUGCUAGUACUCAUAUGAAAGUAAGAAAAUUGGUAUUGACUGUAAUUUCUCCCAAAAUUUCCUUCCCACUAAAUAUGCCAAGGCAGACCCUUAGGAUAAUCAAUUUUUUAUGGUGUUUCUGCAUCUAUACAUGUUAUAAUUUCUUAACAUGUGUUCCAGAAAUCCAGAAAUAAGGUCAAAUACCCAGCAAAAUAUUUAUUGUUUGGCUGUUUUAUAUAAAUGCUUCCACCUGCUGGACUGCUAUUGAGAAGUUUCAGUUACACCAGUGUUAUUAGUAGUUCUCAUUAACCUCAACUGUCAUUGUGACUGCUUUUCAAUAUUUCCUGCUGCCUUGUCUUUUCAUUCGCAGAAUGCAUUAAUUUUGUUACAUCCUGUCAUUUCACACAGGCUGUGUUCUUUGCAUGUAGAGUCA
rnacentral:lncRNA from 12 species